CCCCUCUCAGGGUCUCACCUGGAGAGUUCUCAGUACUCUAUCUGUCUCGAAUACGAGAGGGAGAGUCAGGCAGAGGCAUAUCCAUUCCAUUCCUACCUUGGGCAGUGGCUAGCGAGUGGAGGACAAUCUGCUUCAAGU